rnacentral:rRNA from 1 species
CCCUUAGAUGUUCUGGGCCGCACGCGUGCUACACUGAGUGGAUCAGCGGGUCUGGUUGCGCGAAAGCGUUUCCUAAUCUUUAAAUCCGCUCGUGAUGGGGAUUGACGGUUGCAAUUUUCUGUCAUGAACGAGGAAUACCUUGUAAGCGCGGGUCAUCAUCCCGCGCUGAAUACGUCCCUGCCCUUUGUACACACCGCCCGUCGCUCCUACCGAUUGAGUGGUCCGGUGAGGCUUUGGGAUCUGAGCGGAAAGAGCGUUUCGCUGUUUCUGCUCGGAAAACUCAGUCGAACCUUAUCAUUUAGAGGAAGGAGAAGUCGUAACA